UCAAUAAAAGGGUACUGUGAUAACACAGGUAAGGAGCUCUUUGCAAUAUGGCUUAUCAGUGGGACAUCCCGCUCUGACAACCACACACGUGUGGUAUGUGAGAGCUCAGGACGACCACUAGUGGAUGGAUACCUCUGGGUGUACGGUAAAUACACCUCUCUAAUAUACCUUCCCUGAGCGUAUGGUAUUUGACGUUGUCAUCAUUAGCUAACCCUAAUCUCUUUGUCUGUCUGUCUUUCCUGUCUAUCCUGUCUGUCUAUCCCGUCUGUCUCUCUAUCCUGUCUGUCUAUCCCGUCUGUCUCUCUAUCCUGUCUGUCUAUCCCGUCUGUCUCUCUAUCCUGUCUGUCUAUCCCGUCUGUCUCUCUAUCCUGUCUGUCUAUCCCGUCUGUCUCUCUAUCCUGUCUGUCUAUCCCGUCUGUCUCUCUAUCCUGUCUGUCUAUCCCGUCUGUCUCUCUAUCCUGUUUGUCUGUCUGUCCUCUUCGGAUACAUUUUCAGAGGACGGCAGUUACUUUGCCACCCUCAUUGGCUGCGUCAUUGGUGGUUUCUUUGGUAUCCUCAUCGUCUUUGGUCUGUCAUACACUGUGCUCAGGAGAUCUGAGAGGUUCCAGCUCUGUUUCAGGGGGAAAGAUCGUGAGGAUGACGUCACCACAAUGGUGACAAAGGAUUAAACACACACCUUGCAAUACUGUUGGAUUUACUUAUUCAACUUCUUAAAGGUGGCACUUUGUGUUUUUUUUUUGCAUAUGCAGAUUUUGAUUGUAAUUUCUAUUUUGUUUUACUGUUCUAUUAUUUGCUUAUCUAGCAGUAUGCAGUAUCUGAUACUGGCAUCAAUUUCUUGUGUUUUUAUCUUAUUAAAUGUAGCUAAACAUAGGAAAUUAAACAAAAUGUUGCAUUUUGAAAACUUCUUACAAAAGUCCCAUAUAUCAUAUUCUCACCCAUAAAAUUUUAGAUUUGUUUUGCCUUGGUUUGUUCAGUCGCAGUUCUACUAUUUGUCCAACAGAGAGCAGCCAUGACAGUACAGAAACUGAAGUUCAAUUAUGCUGGGAUACUACUAAAGCGUUUUUAAUAAUGUACUAUAAUUGUGCGUCUCUGACUUUUCCUCUACUCCGGAAUACUGAAGUUUAUGUUAAUUUUUUAUACUGCGCUUUAUAGCUCCAUUAAUUGUUUUACAGUUAUGCUGGCAGCCAGCUAACACCUGUUUUCACUGCAUAAACAAUAGAGAGCAGGACGUCUGAGUAGCUGUCUAAAGUGUUCCAGUGGAGGAUCAGUAGAGGUGGUGCGAUGUUGACUCAGCUGGCCUGCUAUGCUCUGGCAUGACUCUGACACGGACACAACUCACAUCACUUCAAAUCCCACAAUAUGCAUUGCUAAUUUGUUUAGAAUUACAUACAUUCUUUGAGAUGUAUUUAUAUUUUUAUGCAUGCUCCCCAUCUUCAGAGUGGCUUGUCAGAGGAUAUGGUCAAAUGCUCAAAGGCCCUUAGAUGGUUUGUUUAGUGACAAAUAUGCCUCCUAACAAGUAAGAGUACUGUACGUUUUGAGUGUUCCAGCACGAGCGUGCUUGUGUCAGUGCAUGCAGGCAUACUUACAUACCAUACUUUUGUUUAAGUCUAAGCUAUGCACCGGAGUUGUGUCAGUGCAUGCAGGCAUACUUACAUACCACACUUUUGUUUAAGUCUAAGCUAUGCACCGGAGCUGUGUCAGUGAUGAUGCAUUCAUAUUAUAUUAAUACAGUGUGUUCCAUUUGUAUUGGGGCAGUGAAACUUGUUGUUUUGGCUCUGUACACUUUGGAUUUAAAAUGAUUCAAUGACUAUGAUGUUAAAGUGCUGACUGUCAGCUUUAAUUUGAGGUUAUUUUCAUCCAUAUCGGGUGAACCGUUUAGAAAUGACAGCACUUUUUGUAAAUAGUCCCCCCAUUUGGACAAAUGCACUUAUGUGUAUUAAAGUAGUAGAAAGUUAAGUAUUUGGUCCCAUAUUCAUCGCACGCAAUGACUACAUCAAGCUUGUGACUGCAAAUUUGUUGAAUGCAUUUGUUGUUUGUUUUGGUUGUGUUUCAGAUUAUAUUGUGCCCAAUAUAAAUGAAUGGUCAAUAAUGUAUCGUGUCAUUUUGGAGUCACUUUAAUUGUAAAAUAAGAAUAAAAUAUGUUUCUAAACAUUUCUGCAUUAAUGUGGAUGCUACCAUGAUUACGGAUAAUCCUGAAUGAAUCGUGAAUAAUGAUGAAUGAGAAAGUUACAGACACAAUUCAUUAUUUACCAUUCCUAUGUAUUGGGCACAAAAUAAUCUGAAACACAACCAAAACAAACAGCAAAUGCAUUCAAUAAAUGUGUAGAGUCACAAGCUUGAUGUGGUCAUUGUGUGCGAUGACUAUGGGACCAAAUACUUAACUUUUUACUACUUUCAUACACAUACAAGUACAUUUGUCGUAAUACUUUUGGUGCCUUAAAAUGGGGGAACUAUGUAGAAAAAGUGCUGUAAUUUCUAAAUGGUUCACCCGAUUUGGAUAAAAAUAUCCUCAAAUUAAAUAUGACACUCUGCACGUCAACCUCACAGUCAUGAUAUAAUUUAAAAUCCAAAGUGCUGGGGUACAGAGCCAAAACAAACCAAAAAUAUGUCACUGUCUCAAUACUAUUUUAAAGAGAUGUUGUGCAAAGAAGAGAGCAGGGUUUUUGUGGAGGGAAUGUCUUAUGUGUGUGUUGUACCUGUGUGUCAGCUUUACCCUUUGGAUAGCCCACCCUGACUGUCUCUUGUGUGAGUCUACGACAACCCUUUCCCUGUGGCCACUGGUUCUGUAGACUAUGUAGCUGUGGUAUGUGUAAGGUACCCAAUUGUCAUACUUGAGUAAAAGUAAAGAUACCUUAAUAUGAAAGGACUCAAGUAAAAGUGAGUCACCCAGUAAAAUCCUACUUGAGUAAAAGUCUAAAAGUAUUUGGUUUUAAAUAUACUUAAGUAUCAAAAGUCAAUGUAAUCUCAAAAAUGUACUUAAGUAUCAAAAGUAAAAGUAUAAAUCAUUUCAAAUUCCUUUUAUAAAGCAAACCAGACGGCACUCAUAUUUUUAUUACAUGUUUGUUUUACAGAUAGCCAGGAGCGCCCUCUUACACUCAGACGUAAUUUACAAACAAAGUAUUUUUGUUUAGUUGUGUCACGCCCUGGUCAAAGUAUUUUGUGUUUAUCUUUAUGUAUUUGGUCAGGCCAGGGUGUGGCAUGGGGUUUUUGUAAUUGUGGUGUGUUUGUCUUGGGGUUUUGGUGGUGGUAUUGGGAUUGUAGCUUAGUGGGUUGUCUAGCAAGGUCUAUGGCUGUCUGGAGUGGUUCUCAAUCAGAGGCAGGUGCUUAUCGUUGU
rnacentral:lncRNA from 1 species